rnacentral:rRNA from 1 species
UGAGUACGAGACGCUAAGGCGUCGAAGUAGUGUAUGUCAUACUUCCAAGAAAGGCUAGCACUAUCAUAGAUAAAAAACGCCUGUACCAUAACCGACACAGGUGGGUAGGUAGAGUAUACUAAGGGGCGCGAGAUAACUCUCUCUAAGGAACUCGGCAAAAUAACUCCGUAACUUCGGGAGAAGGAGUGCCUUAUUAUUAAGGUUGCAAUAACAAGAUCCAAGCAACUGUUUAUCAAAAACACAGGUCUCCGCUAAGUCGUAAGACGAUGUAUGGGGGCUGACGCCUGCCCAGUGCCAGAAGGUUAAAGAAGUUGGUUAGCAAUUGCGAAGCUGAUAACUGAAGCCCUGGUGAACGGCGGCCGUAACAAUAACGGUCCUAAGGUAGCGAAAUUCCUUGUCGGGUAAGUUCCGACCCGCACGAAAGGCGUAAUGAUUUGGAUACUGUCUCGGAGAGGGGCUCGGUGAAAUAGACUUGUCUGUGAAGAUGCGGACUACCUGCACCAGGACAGAAAGACCCUAUGAAGCUUUACUGUAACUUGAAAUUGAAAUUGGACUUUAUUCGCGCAGUAUAGGUGGGAGGCGUUGAUUAUAAUCUUGCGGGAUUAUUGGAGCCAUCAGUGAGAUACCACUCUUGUAAUGUUAGAUUUCUAACUUUGAAUCAUUAUCUGGUCAAAGGACAGUUUCAGGCGGGCAGUUUGACUGGGGCGGUCGCCUCCUAAACGGUAACGGAGGCGUACAAAGGUUUCCUCUGAACGGUUAGAAAUCGUAUCUAGAGUGUAAAGGCAUAAGGAAGCUUGACUGUGAGACCUACAAGUCGAGCAGGGACGAAAGUCGGUCUUAGUGAUCUGACGGUACUGAGUGGAAAGGCCGUCACUCAACGGAUAAAAGUUACUCUAGGAUAACAGGCUGAUCUCCCCCAAGAGUUCACAUCGACGGGGAGGUUUGGCACCUCGAUGUCGGCUCAUCGCAUCCUGGGGCGGUAGUACGUCCCAAGGGUUGGGCUGUUCGCCCAUGAAAGCGGUACGCGAGCUGGGUUCAGAACGUCGUGAGACAGUUCGGUCCAUAUCCGGUGUAGGCGUUAGAAUAUUGAGAGGAGCCUUCUUUAGUACGAGAGGACCGAGAAGGACAUACCUCUGGUGUACCAGUUAUCGUGCCAACGGUAAACGCUGGGUAGCUAUGUAUGGAGUGGAUAACCGCUGAAAGCAUCUAAGUGGGAAGCCCACCUCAAGAUAAG